rnacentral:rRNA from 1 species
AACAACUCACCUGCCGAAUGGACUAGCCCUGAAAAUGGAUGGCGCUGAAGCGGGUGGCCGAGACCACACCGUUUGACGAAUUGGCAACUCGUCGAAUGAGUAGGAGGGCGUGGCGGCCGUGGAGAAGCCGGUGGGCAAUCACUGGUGGAACGGCCGCGAGUGCAGAUCUUGGUGGUAGUAGCAAAUAUUCAAGUGAGUGAACAAACCUUGAAGGGUGAAGCGGGGAAGGGUUUUAUGUGAACAUUGAUUGGGCAUAAGUGAGUCGUUCCUAAGCUGCUGGUUUAUUCUCUCGGGAAUUUUUCUGGCGAAAGGGAAGCAGGUUGACAUUCCUGCACACGGAUGUGGAGGCGGUGACGCCGUUUGAGACAAACACGUUGGCGACAGCUCUGGGCAGAGUUAUCUUUUCUGUUUGACGUCAGGGUGCGCUGUGUGGAAUCCGCUUGUCGGGAGAAACACGCGUGCCCGGGCAGAGCGCCGGACUUUUCCGGCGUCCAGAUCGCUGUCGACAGCCCUUGAAACUUUGUCUGCUGAAGUGAACAAUCCACGCCGUGACGUACCGAUAACCGCAUCAGGUCCCCAAGGUGAACAGCCUCUACUCAAUAUGAACAAU